rnacentral:tRNA from 1 species
GGGUCGUGCGGCAACGGCGCGGCCAUGCGGGUCGCCCCGCUCGGGGCGUACUUCGCCGACGACCCGGCGCGGAUCGUGUCCGAGGCGAUCCG